rnacentral:rRNA from 1 species
UACGAAGGGGGGCUAGCGUUGCUCGGAAUCACUGGGCGUAAAGCGCACGUAGGCGGACUCUUAAGUCGGUGGUGAAAUCCCCCGGGCUCAACCUGGGAACUGCAUCCAAAACUGGCAAGCUAGAGUAGGGCAGAGGGUGGUGGAAUUUCCUGUGUAGCGGUGAAAUGCGUAGAUAUCGGAAGGAACAUCAGUGGCGAAAGCGGCUUCCUGGUCCAGCACCGACGUUCAGGCACGAAAGCGUGGGGAGCAAACAGG